UACGGAGGAUGCAAGCGUUAUCCGGAAUUACUGGGCGUAAAGCGCACGCAGGUGGCUGAGUCAGUCGAUUGUGAAAGCCCUGGGCUUAACCUGGGAAUUGCAGUCGAUACUACUCAGCUAGAGUAUGGGAGAGGGCAGUGGAAUUCCCGGUGUAGCGGUGAAAUGCGUAGAUAUCGGGAGGAACAUCAGUGGCGAAGGCGGCUGCCUGGCCCAAUACUGACACUCAGGUGCGACAGCGUGGGGAGCAAACAGG
rnacentral:rRNA from 1 species